rnacentral:ncRNA from 1 species
AUCUUCAGGGCAGGGUGCAAGUCCCUACCGGUGGUAUAGCCCACGAGCCGUAAGGCAUGAUUCGGUGUAACUCCGAAGCCGACAGUAUAGUCUGGAUGGAAGAAGAU